GCACCUGAGCUGGUUCCAUAACCUGGAUAUUACCCCCAGGCUCAAGAGGUGCUAUGACAGUUCCUGAUCAUACUGCCAAAUGGCAGGUGGGACAUCAGAUGCUGGAGGACACCAAUACAAUAGGCAAAGACAAUACUUGUGUGAAUAGAAGGAGCUAUGGGGCCCAGAGGAAUGGCCCCAGACAUCACCGUAGCUCCAGGUUUGAGCUGCGCUGCCCACAAUGCAGACAUGGCCUGAAUCGUCUUUCUGUAAGCAUCUCUUUUGAUCUAUCAUCUGUCUGCAAGACCACAGGCCUCCAGAGCAUUGCAGUGGACCCCAUGAGCAGAAUGCUUCCAGAUUUCAAAGACGGAGGCACAAGACACCUGUACAAGACGGGAGUGGGGGCAAAGAGGCGAAUGGACAAGAUGUCAAUGGCACCAGCUGCUUCUCCUACAGUUCAACUGGGACCUUGGCAAGGUUGGAGUUCCUUUCCUCCCAUCAUGGCAGCCUCCGGGUGGCUCCUUCCACUCUAGCCAAAGUGACUUCUGUCUGAGUGAGGAAGCAGAAGUCUCCAGAAUGCGCUGGGCACGAGCCUGGCUGACUUCACACUCUAGCUCAACUUCUUCGUGUCUGUGGGAGUUGGAACAAGUCACUUCACCUUUUUUGUGUCCUAUAAAAUGAAGAUUAAAAAAUAUUCUAGCCCCAGUUUUGCAGGGAGGAUGAGAUGCCUACCUAAUUCUGCUGGGCCUCAAGGGGCUCUGAGUAUGAGUCAUGAUAUAUGGGUGGCCAUUGUCAUCGUCUUUCUUUCACAAGUGCUUCUGCCACCCAGGACUCACCUCUGGGCAGUGCCCUCUGCCAGUGUCACGACCCCACUGUCCCUGCAGCUAUCAGCAUCACUGCCACAUGCUCGAGGUCUCCUCUAGCCCCCAGCCUAGGACUGGCCUUCUCCACUCUCAUUUGACCAGGCUGGGCUGAGGGUGAGGCAAGGGAGGGACUCACUUUGGGUGCAAAAUUUUAGUGGCUGCCCCCUAAACUCCUCAGUAUUCAAGAUAAGUAAAAUUCUAAUGCAACACUUAAAAAUAUCAAAAAAUAAUGCAAAAAGUCCAGGAUGAACAAAAUGGCAGAUUUUCAAGGCCUGUGCUGCGCUGAGCAAAGUGUGUGUGUGAAGCAAGAGGGAACGCAUGCACUCCUGGCACUGCUAGACACAGACGCUCAGGAAUGUUUUCAGUCUGACCUACUUGGCUUGUCUGAUUGUCACUGGAGAGGGCCACCACGUGCGACGACUCCCCAUGAGCCAGUGGCCAUCGUAAAGCAU